rnacentral:siRNA from 1 species
AAUAUUACAGAGCCUGAUGGAUC